AGAGUUUGAUCCUGGCUCAGGACGAACGCUGGCGGCGUGCUUUACACAUGCAAGUCGAACGAUGAUGGGGUGCUUGCAUCCUUGAUUAGUGGCGAACGGGUGAGUAACACGUGAGUAACCUGCCCCAGACUCUGGGAUAACUCCGGGAAACCGGGGCUAAUACUGGAUAUCACUUCCUGAUGCAUGUCGGGUUGUUGAAAGGGUUUCUGGUCUGGGAUGGGCUCGCGGCCUAUCAGCUUGUUGGUGGGGUGAAGGCCUACCAAGGCGAUGACGGGUAGCCGGCCUGAGAGGGUGACCGGCCACACUGGGACUGAGACACGGCCCAGACUCCUACGGGAGGCAGCAGUGGGGAAUAUUGCACAAUGGGCGAAAGCCUGAUGCAGCGACGCCGCGUGAGGGAUGACGGCCUUCGGGUUGUAAACCUCUUUCAGUAGGGAAGAAGCUUUCGGGUGACGGUACCUGCAGAAGAAGCGCCGGCUAACUACGUG
rnacentral:rRNA from 1 species